rnacentral:rRNA from 1 species
AAUCUUGCGCAAUGGAGGGAACUCUGACGCAGCGACGCCGCGUGAACGAUGAAGGUCNNNGGAUCNUAAAGUUCUGUCCUCAGNGAANAAGGUCACUUAACGUGACUUGACGGUACCUGUGGAGGAAGCCCCGGCUAACUACGUGCCAGCAGCCGCGGUAAUACGUAGGGGGCAAGCGUUGUCCGGAAUUAUUGGGCGUAAAGGGUGCGUAGGCGGCCUUUUAAGUCAGAUGUGAAAGACCACGGCUUAACCGUGGGGUUGCAUUUGAAACUGGAAGGCUUGAGUAUCGGAGAGGGUAGUGGAAUUCCCAGUGUAGCGGUGAAAUGCGUAGAUAUUGGGAGGAACACCAGUGGCGAAGGCGACUACCUGGACGAAAACUGACGCUGAUGCACGAAAGCUAGGGGAGCAAACA